CCUACGGGAGGCUGCAGUGGGGAAUAUUGGACAAUGGGGGGAACCCUGAUCCAGCCAUGCCGCGUGUGUGAAGAAGGCCCUCGGGUUGUAAAGCACUUUCAGUGAGGAAGAACGCCUGGUGGUUAAUACCCAUCAGGAAAGACAUCACUCACAGAAGAAGCACCGGCUAACUCCGUGCCAGCAGCCGCGGUAAUACGGAGGGUGUGAGCGUUAAUCGGAAUUACUGGGCGUAAAGCGCGCGUAGGUGGCUUGAUAAGCCGGUUGUGAAAGCCCCGGGCUCAACCUGGGAACGGCAUCCGGAACUGUCAAGCUAGAGUGCAGGAGAGGAAGGUAGAAUUCCCGGUGUAGCGGUGAAAUGCGUAGAGAUCGGGAGGAAUACCAGUGGCGAAGGCGGCCUUCUGGACUGACACUGACACUGAGGUGCGAAAGCGUGGGUAGCAAACAGGAUUAGAUACCUCUGUAGUC
rnacentral:rRNA from 1 species